GACGAACGCUGUUGGCGUGCUUAACACAUGCAAGUCGAACGGAAAGGCCCUGCUUUUGUGGGGUGCUCGAGUGGCGAACGGGUGAGUAACACGUGAGUAACCUGCCCUUGACUUUGGGAUAACUUCAGGAAACUGGGGCUAAUACCGGAUAGGAGCUCCUGCUGCAUGGUGGGGGUUGGAAAGUUUCGGCGGUUGGGGAUGGACUCGCGGCUUAUCAGCUUGUUGGUGGGGUAGUGGCUUACCAAGGCUUUGACGGGUAGCCGGCCUGAGAGGGUGACCGGCCACAUUGGGACUGAGAUACGGCCCAGACUCCUACGGGAGGCAGCAGUGGGGAAUAUUGCACAAUGGGCGGAAGCCUGAUGCAGCAACGCCGCGUGCGGGAUGACGGCCUUCGGGUUGUAAACCGCUUUCGCCUGUGACGAAGCGUGAGUGACGGUAAUGGGUAAAGAAGCACCGGCUAACUACGUGCCAGCAGCCGCGGUGAUACGUAGGGUGCGAGCGUUGUCCGGAUUUAUUGGGCGUAAAGGGCUCGUAGGUGGUUGAUCGCGUCGGAAGUGUAAUCUUGGGGCUUAACCCUGAGCGUGCUUUCGAUACGGGUUGACUUGAGGAAGGUAGGGGAGAAUGGAAUUCCUGGUGGAGCGGUGGAAUGCGCAGAUAUCAGGAGGAACACCAGUGGCGAAGGCGGUUCUCUGGGCCUUUCCUGACGCUGAGGAGCGAAAGCGUGGGGAGCGAACAGGCUUAGAUACCCUGGUAGUCCACGCUGUAAACGGUGGGUACUAGGUGUGGGGUCCAUUCCACGGGUUCCGUGCCGUAGCUAACGCUUUAAGUACCCCGCCUGGGGAGUACGGCCGCAAGGCUAAAACUCAAAGGAAUUGACGGGGCCCCGCACAAGCGGCGGAGCAUGCGGAUUAAUUCGAUGCAACGCGUAGAACCUUACCUGGGUUUGACAUGGAUCGGGAGUGCUCAGAGAUGGGUGUGCCUCUUUUGGGGUCGGUUCACAGGUGGUGCAUGCCUGUCGUCAGCUCGUGUCGUGAGAUGUUGGGUUAAGUCCCGCAACGAGCGCAACCCUUGUUCACUGUUGCCAGCACGUUAUGGUGGGGACUCAGUGGAGACCGCCGGGGUCAACUCGGAGGAAGGUGGGGGUGACGUCAAGUCAUCAUGCCCCUUAUGUCCAGGGCUUCACGCAUGCUACAAUGGCUGGUACAGAGAGUGGCGAGCCUGUGAGGGUGAGCGAAUCUCGGAAAGCCGGUCUCAGUUCGGAUUGGGGUCUGCAACUCGACCUCAUGAAGUCGGAGUCGCUAGUAAUCGCAGAUCAGCAACGCUGCGGUGAAUACGUUCCCGGGGCU
rnacentral:rRNA from 1 species